rnacentral:rRNA from 1 species
AAUGAACGCUAGCAGAACGCCUAACACAUGCAAGUCGUACGGAUUUGUUGACUUCGGUUAACAAGUUAGUGGCAAACGGGCGAGUAACACGUGCUUAAUCUGCCCUGGAGAGGGGAACAACUACGGAGACGUAGCUAAAUCCCCAUACGCUCAUGGAAAUGAAAAUACCAUGAGGAAACAAUUUAUUGCUCUAGGAGGAGGGUGCGGCCUAUCAGGUAGUUGGUGAGGUAACUGCUCACCAAGCCUAUGACGGGUAACCGGUCUGAGAGGAUGUCCGGUCGCAAUGGAACUGAGACACGGUCCAUACCCCUACGGGGGGCAGCAGUGGGGAAUCUUGGUCAAUGGGCGAAAGCCUGAACCAGCGAUUCUGCGUGAAGGAUGAAGCCUCGCGGGGUGUAAACUUCUUUUAUGGGGGAAGACGAAUGACGGUACCCCACGAAUAAGGGACGGCUAACUACGUG